GAAGCCCAGUCAAGCUAAACAAUGCUUACACCUCACACCCAGUUUGAAAGAUCCAAAAGUCAAAAACCUGAAAAUUGCGUACAAAACAGGAAUGACUGUCAACCCACAACAAUUGACUUUCAAGGCAAAAUGUCCAAAACUGCAAACAACAAGUACUGUCAAACUUAUCAAAAUAAAGGACCUCAAUAAUUCUGACAGGGUUAAUGUCACAGCAAAAAUGGUCAAGGUUGUAGAGGAAACGAAA